UUCGACCAAGGUUCGACUUGAGCGCCAGCGAGAGAGCGUUGCCGCAGGCAACGACCCGAAGGGCGAAGCGCGCAGCGCUGAGUAAUCCUUCCCCCACCACCA
rnacentral:sRNA from 2 species